UGAUAACAUGGAAAUCUGGGUCUAUGCAAAAGAAUGAAAGAACACUAGAAAAGGCAAUCAUGCCGUGGUAGUGGCAGUGGCAGCAAGAAGAGCAGCAACCGCUGGGGAUCCCAGCACCUAAAACAGGGAAGAGAACAUUUCUCUAUGAUCGAAGCAGCUGUGGUCCCAAAAGGAUGAGAUAUUGUACUUUUUACAAACUGAAGGCAAGACCCUCCACCAACAAAAAGAUUCCAACUCACUUUGUUGCAGUAAUCACUUUAUUGCAGUGGUCUGGAACUGAACUCACAAUAUGUCUGAGGGAUGGCCUGGUUCCUGCCAUGUAAAUCAAAGAAGAGAGGGUCUGAUUCAGCCGCCUAGCCUGAGUCACCUGGAACCCAUUAGGAUACAGCAUCAUAAACACCUCCAUUUUCCCUUCGGAGAGAGACCAGACCCACUGAAGUUAAGCUACCUGCAUACGAGUUGAGUGUGAUCAGCUGUACUUAAUCUUUAAAUGUCCAACCCACAGAUAACCUUUGGUUUGCUUUGAUAACUACGAAAUAAAU